AAGAAAGCUUGCUUUCUUUGCUGGCGACCGGCGCACGGGUGAGUAACACGUAUCCAACCUACCCUUUACUCGGGGAUAGCCUUUCGAAAGAAAGAUUAAUACCCGAUAGCAUAAUGAUUCCGCAUGGUUUCAUUAUUAAAGGAUUCCGGUAAAGGAUGGGGAUGCGUUCCAUUAGGUUGUUGGUGGGGUAACGGCCCACCAAGCUUUCGAUGGAUAGGGGUUCUGAGAGGAAGGUCCCCCACAUUGGAACUGAGACACGGUCCAAACUCCUACGGGAGGCAGCAUG
rnacentral:rRNA from 1 species